GCCAAGAUACAUAGCUCAUUUUUCACUCAAUCCCAGACAGACUUCAAGUAUCUGAAACAUGAAAAAGAAGCAAAUCUAAAACUGGUUUAUGAUUAGUACCACAGCUUAAUUAUGCGGCUCAAGUUGUGUUGUACAUUGUCGGAAGAAUCAUGCAGGUUACAAACUAAGAACUAUCUCAGAACAUAGACCAAAGCAUAUAUGCAUGCAAAUUCCAGGAACAAAAGAAAUGUCCAACCAACCAAAAAAACCAGCGUAUCAUAGGUAAACGAAAGCUUGAAAAUUGAACUGAAUGAAGAAAGUGGUUCUUUCCUUUCCUCAAAAACCCUAGCAGGUAGCCCUGAUUGUUUUUCUGCAGCCCUUUUCUGGCACAUUACUUUUACACAUAGCUAAGAAAGAGAUUGAAGGGGUUAAGGUUGAAUCGGGGUGGAAGAGGGGUUCUCUGUCCUGUCGAAUGCGUUGUCGUUGGAUACGUAGGACACACCCUGCAACAUAUGUGUGUCGUGUCAUGUGGAAACAAACAUAACAUAACCCUUUUGGCCUUCUAAUGAGUUUCUCUUGUGACUCACAUUAUCUCUAUCUCUUCUACUCUCUCCCUUUUAACCCAAACAUCACCCUUGAAUUGUCAAAACUGUAUAUAUCAACAAUGUUGGUG
rnacentral:lncRNA from 1 species